rnacentral:rRNA from 1 species
UACGUAGGGUGCGAGCGUUAAUCGGAAUUACUGGGCGUAAAGCGUGCGCAGGCGGUGAUGUAAGUCAGUUGUGAAAUCCCCGGGCUCAACCUGGGAACUGCAUCUGUGACUGCAUCGCUGGAGUGCGGCAGAGGGGGAUGGAAUUCCGCGUGUAGCAGUGAAAUGCGUAGAUAUGCGGAGGAACACCGAUGGCGAAGGCAAUCCCCUGGGCCUGCACUGACGCUCAUGCACGAAAGCGUGGGGAGCAAACAGG